UGAAUACGAGACGCUAAGGCGUCGAAGUAGUGUAUGUCAUACUUCCAAGAAAAGCUUGCACUGUCAUAGAUAAAAAACGCCUGUACCAUAACCGACACAGGUGGGUAGGUAGAGUAUACUAAGGGGCGCGAGAUAACUCUCUCUAAGGAACUCGGCAAAAUAACUCCGUAACUUCGGGAGAAGGAGUGCCUUAUUCGUAAGGUUGCAAUAACAAGAUCCAAGCAACUGUUUAUCAAAAACACAGGUCUCCGCUAAGUCGUAAGACGAUGUAUGGGGGCUGACGCCUGCCCAGUGCCAGAAGGUUAAAGAAGUUGGUUAGCAAUUGCGAAGCUGAUAACUGAAGCCCUGGUGAACGGCGGCCGUAACCAUAACGGUCCUAAGGUAGCGAAAUUCCUUGUCGGGUAAGUUCCGACCCGCACGAAAGGCGUAAUGAUUUGGAUACUGUCUCGGAGAGGGGCUCGGUGAAAUAGACUUGUCUGUGAAGAUGCGGACUACCUGCACCAGGACAGAAAGACCCUAUGAAGCUUUACUGUAACUUGAAAUUGAAAUUGGACUUUAUUCGCGCAGUAUAGGUGGGAGGCGUUGAUUAUAAUCUUGUGGGAUUAUUGGAGCCAUCAGUGAGAUACCACUCUUGUAAUGUUAGAUUUCUAACUUUGAAUCAUUAUCUGGUCAAAGAACAGUUUCAGGCGGGCAGUUUGACUGGGGCGGUCGCCUCCUAAACGGUAACGGAGGCGUACAAAGGUUUCCUCUGAACGGUUAGAAAUCGUAUCUAGAGUGUAAAGGCAUAAGGAAGCUUGACUGUGAGACCUACAAGUCGAGCAGGGACGAAAGUCGGUCUUAGUGAUCUGACGGUACUGAGUGGAAAGGCCGUCACUCAACGGAUAAAAGUUACUCUAGGAUAACAGGCUGAUCUCCCCCAAGAGUUCACAUCGACGGGGAGGUUUGGCACCUUGAUGUCGGCUCAUCGCAUCCUGGGGCGGUAGUACGUCCCAAGGGUUGGGCUGUUCGCCCAUGAAAGCGGUACGCGAGCUGGGUUCAGAACGUCGUGAGACAGUUCGGUCCAUAUCCGGUGUAGGCGUUAGAAUAUUGAGAGGAGCCUUCUUUAGUACGAGAGGACCGAGAAGGACAUACCUCUGGUGUACCAGUUAUCGUGCCAACGGUAAACGCUGGGUAGCUAUGUAUGGAGUGGAUAACCGCUGAAAGCAUCUAAGUGGGAAGCCCACCUCAAGAUAAG
rnacentral:rRNA from 1 species